rnacentral:rRNA from 1 species
AUUGAACGCUAGCGGGAUGCCUUACACAUGCAAGUCGAACGGCAGCACGGACUUCGGUCUGGUGGCGAGUGGCGAACGGGUGAGUAAUGUAUCGGAACGUGCCUAGUAGCGGGGGAUAACUACGCGAAAGCGUAGCUAAUACCGCAUACGCCCUACGGGGGAAAGCAGGGGAUCGCAAGACCUUGCACUAUUAGAGCGGCCGAUAUCGGAUUAGCUAGUUGGUGGGGUAACGGCUCACCAAGGCGACGAUCCGUAGCUGGUUUGAGAGGACGACCAGCCACACUGGGACUGAGACACGGCCCAGACUCCUACGGGAGGCAGCAGUGGGGAAUUUUGGACAAUGGGGGAAACCCUGAUCCAGCCAUCCCGCGUGUGCGAUGAAGGCCUUCGGGUUGUAAAGCACUUUUGGCAGGAAAGAAACGUCAUGGGCUAAUACCCCGUGAAACUG